UGCCAGCCGCCGCGGUAAUACGGAGGGUGCAAGCGUUGUUCGGAAUUAUUGGGCGUAAAGCGCGUGUAGGCGGUUCGUUAAGUCUGAUGUGAAAGCCCGGGGCUCAACCCCGGAAGUGCGUUGGAUACUGGCAGUCUUGAGUAUGGGAGAGGAAAGUGGAAUUCCGAGUGUAGGAGUGCAAUCCGUAGAUAUCUGGAGGAACAUCAGUGGCGAAGGCGGCUUACUGGACAAUUACUGACGCUGAGGUACGAAAGCGUGGGGAGCGUACAGGAUUAGAUA
rnacentral:rRNA from 1 species